rnacentral:rRNA from 1 species
CCUACGGGUGGCUGCAGUAGGGAAUCUUCCACAAUGCGCGAAAGCCUGAUGGAGCAACGCCGCGUGGGUGAAGAAGGUCUUCGGAUCGUAAAACCCUGUUGAUAGAGAAGAAAGUGCGUGUGAGUAACUGUUCACGUUUCGACGGUAUCUAACCAGACAGCCACGGCUAACUACGUGCCAGCAGCCGCGGUAAUACGUAGGUGGCAAGCGUUAUCCGGAUUGAUUGGGCGUAAAGGGAACGCAGGCGGUCUUGUAAGUCUGAUGUGAAAGCCUACGGCUUAACCGGAGUAGUGCAUUGGAAACUGGGAGACUGGAGUGCAGAAGAGGAGAGUAGAAUUCCAGGUGUAGCGGUGAAAUGCGUAGAUAUAGGGAAGAACACCAGUGGCGAAAGCGGCUCUCUGGGCUGUAACUGACGCUGAGGUGCGAAAGCGUGGGUAGCAAACAGGAUUAGAUACCCUUGUAGUC